GUCUCUCCCUGGAAGUCCGAAGUUGCCCGAGAACAAUGGCUGCCUGACGACGGCUGUUUGACUGUUUGAAAGCCAAGGUUAUCAAGGAAACAAGUGGUGUACUGGAUGAAGUUUGAUGGACUCUUCUGAUCAGGUGCUGCAGGUCUUCCAGCUACUGUUUGGAGAAGAUAUUUCCUCUCAAUUUAUGGAAGUAGGGAAUUUUUCUGAAGGCAGAAAUCAAGGAUUCAAGAACCCAAGUUGGACUCUUGAUUCCACUGAGACCACUGUGUGCAUUUUGAAAUGUUCCAAAUGUGUGUCACGUCCAUACGGAAGAAGUUCCAAGCCCACAAUGGGCUCUAUGAACUGUCCAGGGCAAAGUCGGUCUA